rnacentral:rRNA from 1 species
GACGAACGCUGGCGGCGUGCUUAACACAUGCAAGUCGAGCGAUGAAGUUCCUUCGGGAAUGGAUUAGCGGCGGACGGGUGAGUAACACGUGGGUAACCUGCCUCAUAGAGGGGAAUAGCCUUCCGAAAAGAAGAUUAAUACCGCAUAAGAUUGUAGUAUCGCAUGAUACAGCAAUUAAAGGAGUAAUCCGCUAUGAGAUGGACCCGCGUCGCAUUAGCUAGUUGGUGAGGUAACGGCUCACCAAGGCGACGAUGCGUAGCCGACCUGAGAGGGUGAUCGGCCACAUUGGGACUGGGACACGGCCCAGACUCCUACGGGAGGCAGCAGUGGGGAAUAUUGCACAAUGGGGGAAACCCUGAUGCAGCAACGCCGCGUGAGUGAUGACGGUCUUCGGAUUGUAAAACUCUGUCUUCAGGGACGAUAAUGACGGUACCUGAGGAGGAAGCCACGGCUAACUACGUGCCAGCCGCCGCAGUAACAC